CAUGCAAGUCGAACGAGAAGUACGUAGCAAUACGUAUUGUAAAGUGGCGCACGGGUGAGUAACACGUGGGUAAUCUGCCCUUGAGUUUGGGAUAACCCCGCGAAAGCGGGGCUAAUACCGAAUAAGACCACGGGGACCAAAGUCCCUGAGGUAAAAGGUGGCCUCUAUUUAUAAGCUACCACUUGAGGAUGAGCCCGCGGCCCAUUAGCUAGUUGGCAGGGUAACGGCCUACCAAGGCAAUGAUGGGUAGCUGGUCUGAGAGGACGAUCAGCCACACUGGAACUGAGACACGGUCCAGACUCCUACGGGAGGCAGCAGUGGGGAAUAUUGCGCAAUGGGCGAAAGCCUGACGCAGCAACGCCGCGUGGGGGAUGAAGGUUCUCGGAUUGUAAACCCCUUUCGAUCGGAACGAAUCCCCUCCUGGUAAAUAAUCAGGAGGAUCGACGGUACCGAGAGAAGAAGCCACGGCUAACUCUGUGCCAGCAGCCGCGGUAAGACAGAGGUGGCGAGCGUUGUUCGGAUUUAUUGGGCGUAAAGCGAACGCAGGUGGUUUGGUAAGUCAGGGGUGAAAGACCACAGCUUAACUGUGGCAUUGCCUUUGAUACUGCCUUUCUUGAGUAGAGUAGGGGGAAGCGGAAUUCCGAGUGUAGAGGUGAAAUUCGUAGAUAUUCGGAGGAACACCGGUGGCGAAGGCGGCUUCCUGGACUCUAACUGACACUCAUGUUCGAAAGCGUGGGGAGCAAACAGGAUUAGAUACCCUGGUAGUCCACGCCCUAAACGAUGGGCACUAGGUGUGGGAGGUAUCGACCCCUUCCGUGCCGCAGCUAACGCAUUAAGUGCCCCGCCUGGGGAGUACG
rnacentral:rRNA from 1 species